GAUGCUAUGAGGAUCGACGAGAGGCUUAGCCGAAUGGCAAGAUAUAGGUGAGUCAAAGCGAGAGUGACACAGAGUAUGAAAUGUUGUGAAGAGAUAUGAGAUUCUGCCGACUCUAUAUUCACAACCGUAGGGCGGAGAAAGGAUCGACUCAAAUCCUGGCGCAAAGGUUACUGGGAAACACCAUAAGAAGUGACGUUGACCAGAGGAAGAGUUAGGAGUGGGCAUUCAGAUACCCGUUCAGGUUCGGA
rnacentral:lncRNA from 1 species